rnacentral:rRNA from 1 species
AACGUACGCUGGCGGCACGCCUAACACAUGCAAGUCGAACGAAGUAGCAAUACUUAGUGGCAGACGGGUGAGUAACAUGUGGGUAUCUGCCCUUUGGCCUGGAAUAACACGAGGAAACUUGUGCUAAUACCGGAUAAGUCUUUACGGAGAAAGCUUUAUGCACCAUUGGAUGAGCCUGCACUUGAUUAGUUUGUUGGUAGGGUAAUGGCCUACCAAGACUAUGAUCAAUAGCUGAUUUGAGAGGAUGAUCAGCCACAUUGGGACUGAGACACGGCCCAAACUCCUACGGGAGGCAGCAGUGGGGAAUCUUGCACAAUGGAGGAAACUCUGAUGCAGCGAUGCCGCGUGAGUGAAGAAGGCCUUUGGGUUGUAAAGCUCUUUCGUCGGGGAAGAAAAUGACUGUACCCGAAUAAGAAGGUCCGGCUAACUUCGUGCCAGCAGCCGCGGUAAUACGAAGGGACCUAGCGUAGUUCGGAAUUACUGGGCUUAAAGAGUUCGUAGGUGGUUGAAAAAGUUGGUGGUGAAAUCCCAGAGCUUAACUCUGGAACUGCCAUCAAAACUUUUCAGCUAGAGUAUGAUAGAGGAAAGCAGAAUUUCUAGUGUAGAGGUGAAAUUCGUAGAUAUUAGAAAGAAUACCAAUUGCGAAGGCAGCUUUCUGGAUCAUUACUGACACUGAGGAACGAAAGCAUGGGUAGCGAAGAGGAUUAGAUACCCUCGUAGUCCAUGCCGUAAACGAUGUGUGUUAGACGUUGGAAAUUUAUUUUCAGUGUCGCAGCGAAAGCGAUAAACACACCGCCUGGGGAGUACGACCGCAAGGUUAAAACUCAAAUGAAUUGACGGGGACCCGCACAAGUAGUGGAGCAUGUGGUUUAAUUCGAAGAUACGCGCAGAACCUUACCAACACUUGACAUGUUCGUCGCGACUCUAAGAGAUUAGAGUUUUCGGUUCGGCCGGACGAAACACAGGUGCUGCAUGGCUGUCGUCAGCUCGUGUCGUGAGAUGUUGGGUUAAGUCCCGCAACGAGCGCAACCCUCACUUUUAGUUGCCAGCAUUAAGUUGGGCACUCUGAAAGAACUGCCAGUGAUAAGCUGGAGGAAGGUGGGGAUGACGUCAAGUCCUCAUGGCCCUUACGUGUUGGGCUACACACGUGCUACAAUGGUAUCUACAACAGGAAGCAAAACGGCAACGUUAAGCAAAUCCCGAAAAGAUACCUCAGUUCGGAUUGCACUCUGCAACUCGAGUGCAUGAAGCUGGAAUUACUAGUAACCGUGGAUCAGCGUGCCACGGUGAAUGCGUUCCCGGGUCU